rnacentral:rRNA from 1 species
GGCAACCUGCCUUGGAGAUUGGGAUAACCCCGGGAAACCGGGACUAAUACCGGAUAAUGCAGUAUUUUCUUUGGAAAAUUUUGUUAAAGCGGGCUUCGGCUCGCACUUCAAGAUGGGCCUGCGUCCGAUUAGCUUGUUGGUAAGGUAACGGCUUACCAAGGCUAUGAUCGGUAGCUGGUCUGAGAGGAUGAUCAGCCACACUGGGAUUGAGAUACGGCCCAGACUCCUACGGGAGGCAGCAGUGAGGAAUUUUGCGCAAUGGGCGAAAGCCUGACGCAGCAACGCCGCGUGAUCGAUGACGCUUCUAGGAGUGUAAAGAUCUGUCGUGAGGGAAGAAAAACUUGGAUGUAAAUAAUGUUCAGGCUUGACGGUACCUCACAAGAAAGCACCGGCUAACUUCGUGCCAGCAGCCGCGGUAAUACGAGGGGUGCUAGCGUUGUCCGGAAUAACUGGGCGUAAAGGGUCCGUAGGCGUCUUGCCAAGUUGAUCGUUAAAGCCACCGGCUCAACCGGUGAUCUGCGAUCAAAACUGGUAGGAUAGAAUAUGUGAGAGGAAUGUGGAAUUCCUGGUGUAGCGGUGACAUGCGUAGAUAUCAGGAGGAACACCAAUGGCGAAGGCAGCAUUCUGGC